rnacentral:lncRNA from 1 species
GGUAGAGGGGGUGAUGGUGACAUUUGGUGAGUUGAUUCUCCUAAGGCGGUUACAUAAAAUUGAGGGGUGGUGGAAAGUAAGGCUCCAAGAAAGGUCUUGGUUCUUGGGACUUGGUACCUGGUACAUUUUAAGAGGAUGAAUCAGCCAGAUAGAAAGGUUCUCAAUGGUGGGUAUGGAGUGAGAGAUAAAGGAUGAAAGCAAUGGAUUUUUGAUUUGGGGUUCAAAAAGAAUGUGGUCAGUAAUGGUAGGAGAGAUAGUUUUUGGGGUUUGGGUUUAAAAUAUAUAGGCUUGAUUUUGUAGGAUGGGGCUAUCCAAAACUGUGGCGAUAGGCGUAGCACCAUUAUUAACAGCAAGAGAGUGAGGAAGGGAGAACUCUUCAUCAUCGGAGUAAUCAAUGAUAAGAGUGGAGGAUUCGAGGGGUGACUUAAAGGUUUGGGGAUGAAGGAUCCAUGAUGAAGUCUAGCAGAAAAUAAGAAUUUAUAAGAGAGGAUUUGAG